rnacentral:rRNA from 1 species
UACGUAGGUGGCGAGCGUUAUCCGGAUUUAUUGGGCGUAAAGCGUCCGCAGCCGGUUUAUUAAGUCUAAGAUUAAAGCCCGAAGCUUAACUUCGGUUCGUUUUAGAAACUGGUAGACUCGAGUGUGGUAGAGGCAAGUGGAACUUCUAGUGUAGCGGUAAAAUGCGUAGAUAUUAGAAAGAACACCAGUGGCGAAGGCGGCUCUCUGGUCUGCAACUGACGCUGAGGCUCGAAAGCAUGGGUAGCGAACAGG